rfam:Sporosarcina psychrophila strain DSM 6497, complete genome.
UAUAAAGGAAGGCAGUCUAAAAUCGCGACGUCCUGUCGCAACGACUGCAUGACCCACUUCGUGUGGU